rnacentral:rRNA from 1 species
GAACUGAAACAUCUAAGUACCCCGAGGAAAAGAAAUCAACCGAGAUUCCCCCAGUAGCGGCGAGCGAACGGGGAGCAGCCCAGAGCCUGAAUCAGUGUGUGUGUUAGUGGAAGCGUCUGGAAAGGCGCGCGAUACAGGGUGACAGCCCCGUACACAAAAAUGCACAUAUUGUGAGCUCGAUGAGUAGGGCGGGACACGUGGUAUCCUGUCUGA